rnacentral:ncRNA from 2 species
GAUCAAGUGUCUUAAGGGCAUCUGGUGAAUGCCUUGGCAUGCACAGGCGAUGAAGGACGUGAUACGCUGCGAUAAGCCAUGGGGAGCUGCGAAUAAGCUUUGAUCCGUGGAUUUCCGAAUGGGGAAACCCACCUCCGAACCUUGGUAAGAUCGGAAUGGCACUGGAGCGCAAGCCCCGGUGCGAUUGCGGUUACCAAGGUUCAACAGCGAGGUAUCUAACUCUGAAUACAUAGGGGUUAGAAGCGAACUCGGGGAACUGAAACAUCUAAGUACCCGAAGGAAAGGACAUCAACCGAGACUCCGUUAGUAGUGGCGAGCGAACGCGGACCAGGCCAGUGACCAUGACAAGAAGAAGCCGAACAGGUUGGAAAGCCUGACAAGAGUGGGUGAUAGUCCCGUAGGCGCAAUGUCUGUCAUGGUCCUCGAGUAGGGCGGGACACGUGAAAUCCUGUCUGAAAUUGGGGGGACCACCCUCCAAGCCUAAGUACUCGUGCAUGACCGAUAGCGAACCAGUACCGUGAGGGAAAGGUGAAAAGCACCCCGACAAGGGGAGUGAAAGAGAACCUGAAACCGGAUGCCUACAAACAGUGGGAGCCCGAAAGGGUGACCGCGUACCUUUUGUAUAAUGGGUCAGCGACUUAGUCUGGCGAGCAAGCUUAAGCCGAUAGGUGGAGGCGUAGCGAAAGCGAGUCUGAACAGGGCGUUCAGUUCGUCGGAUUAGACCCGAAACCGAGUGAUCUAGCCAUGAGCAGGUUGAAGGUGCAGUAACAUGCACUGGAGGACCGAACCCGCAUCUGUUGCAAUAGAUUGGGAUGACUUGUGGCUAGGGGUGAAAGGCCAAUCAAACUCGGAAAUAGCUGGUUCUCCGCGAAAUCUAUUUAGGUAGAGCGUCGGAUGUAUUCUCCAGGGGGUAGAGCACUGAAUGGGCUAGGGGGACUCACCGUCUUACCAAACCCAAUCAAACUCCGAAUACCUGGAAGAACUGUCCGGCAGACACACGGCGGGUGCUAACGUCCGUCGUGAAGAGGGAAACAACCCUGACCACCAGCUAAGGUCCCCAAGUUAUGGCUAAGUGGGAAAGGAUGUGAGGAUCCCAAAACAACCAGGAUGUUGGCUUAGAAGCAGCCAUCAUUUAAAGAAAGCGUAACAGCUCACUGGUCUAGAUUUAAGGGUUCUUGCGCCGAAAAUGUACCGGGGCUCAAGCCAUACACCGAAGCUGUGGGUUUGCACUUUGUGCAAGCGGUAGCGGAGCGUUCCCUAGGCUGUUGAAGCGGGACCCGUGAGGGCCCGUGGAGGUAUGGGAAGUGCGAAUGCUGACAUGAGUAACGAUAAAGGGUGUGAGAGACACCCUCGCCGAAAGUCCAAGGGUUCCUGCUUAAAGUUAAUCUGAGCAGGGUUAGCCGGCCCCUAAGGCGAGG